rnacentral:sRNA from 1 species
AUCUCCCAGGCGACCGGCUCCGCAGCAAGAUGGCGGACGAGAAAGACAGGCAAGAGAGAUUGGAACAAUUAUCAGGUCAUUAGGAUGCUGCCCUACUGAAGGAGAGCUGCAUGAUCUGAUUGCAGAGGUAGAGGAAGAAGAACCCACUGGAUACAUUCGAUUCGAAAAAUUUCUUCCGGUGAUGACAGAAAUACUACUAGAAAGAAUACAGACCAAUUCCAGAAGAUGUCCUUCUUCGAGCUUUUGAGGUUUUAGAUUCAGCUAAACGUGGAUUUCUUACUAAGGACGAACUGAUCAAGUAUAUGACUGAAGAAGAAGGAGUUUUGCUCUGUCGCCCAGGCUGAAGUGCAGUGGCGUGAUCUCGGCUCAUUGCAACCUCUACCUCCCGGGUUCAAGCGAUUCUCUUGCCUCAGCCUCCUGAGCAGCUGGGAUGACAGGCACACAGCACCACACCUGGCUAAUUUCUGUAUUUUUAGUAGAGACGGGGUUUCAUCAUGUUGGCCAGGCUGGUCUCGAACUCCUGACCUCAAGUGGAUCCUCCCGCCUCAGCCUCCCAAAGUGCUGGGAUUACAGGCAUAAGCCACCGUGCCUGGCUGCUUCCUUAACUCUUGAUAUCCUCUCUGUAUCUUGCUUUGUCUAGCUGUUCUCUUCUCUCCGUAUUCAUCCAAAUAUUUGCUUAGAAGUACCCAGAAGCAUGGCGUUGUAUGUGGUACACUUUGAACGAAGGGUGAAGAAACGAGGCGGAGUGACUUAGUAGCACGUUACAGCACACGGUUUAAAUUUUAAUAUUAGCCCAUUUACAAAAAACAGCUUAUAUAAUAGUCAUUCACAUACCUCAACAUUCACCAUCCCCUCCCCACUUUUUUUCUGGAGACAGGGUUUCACUGUCACCCCGGCUGGAGUGCAGGUGGCAUGAUCACGGCUCACUAUAGCAUCGACCUCCUGGACUCAAGGGGUCCUCGCACCUCAGCCUCCUGAGUAGCUGGGACCACAGGUGCAUGCCACCACGCCCAGCUAAUUUUUUUUUAAUUUUUGUAGAGACAGGGUCUGGCUAUGUUGCUUAGGCUGGUCUCAAACUCCUGGGUUCAAGUGAUCCUGCCACCUCAGCCUCCCAAAAUGUUAGGAUUACAGAUGUGAGCCACUGUGCCCAGCCAACAUUCACCCCAUUCAAGUGUGCAAUUCAAUGGAUUCUAGUAUCUUCACAGUGCUGUGCAACUAUCACUCCUAUCUACUUACAAAGCAUUUCCAUCAUCUUAAAAAGAAUCCCCAUGUCCAAUAGCAGUUCCCCUUCCCCCACCCUCAUCCUGGGGCAACCGCCAGUCUUCCUGUGUGUCUGUGGAUUUGCCUCCUCAGGGCAUUUCACAUAAACACAAU